AAAGCAAUUAAAAAUAUGUUUACAAUCCAUUGAAUCCAGUUACAAUACAUUACAAUGCAAUAAUAUUUCCAAUAAUGCAACCAAUUUAUAUGGCGGGUAAUAAUACCGACAUUGAUUCUGGCGCAUAUUUAUAUAUUGCAGUCGACGUUGGCACAAGCAGUGUUCGGACUGCGGUAGUUGAUAGAGAAGGACGCAUUAUUGAAUAUUCCUCAGAAGAUAUUAGCAUUUGGCAACCCUCGCCUGAGUUGUACGAACUAUCAUCUGAAAAUAUCUGGAAAUGUUUAUGUUCUGCAGUAAGGAAAGCAUGCAGCAAGGUUAAUAAAGGCAACAUUCGUGGUAUCGGAUUUGAUGCAACAUGUUCAUUAGUGGCUCUUGACAAACAUGGCAAUCCUGUGUCAAUUACACCCAACAAGGCAACCAAUAGAAAUAUUAUUUUAUGGCUUGAUCACCGAGCUGUGAAAGAAGCUGAGAUUAUCAAUACUACAGGACAUGAUGUACUUAAAUUUGUUGGAGGCAAAAUUUCUCCAGAGAUGCAAGCGCCAAAAAUUUUAUGGUGUAAGAAAAACUUAGAAGAAGAAAGAUGGAAGGAUAUUUCUGUCUUCUUUGACCUACCAGAAUUUUUGACUUUCAAAGCUACUGGUUCCUAUACCAGAUCUUUAUGCUCGUUGGUCUGUAAGUUUAACUACAUGGGGCAUUCUUCACAACAGAUCAAUGGUAAUUCAGGUUGGAUCCCUUCAUUUUGGAGUGGUAUAGGCCUAUCGGAAUUUGUUGAAGAUGAUUUUAGAAUAUUAGGUGGCAAUUCUGUCUCUAUGCCAGGUAAACCCCUUGCUCAUGGACUAUCAGUACAAGCUGCUCAAGAUCUUGAUCUACCAACUGGGUUACCUGUGGCUACUUCAUUAAUCGAUGCUCACGCUGGUGGACUGGGGGUAAUUGGUGCAGCUGUCAAGAAGGAACUGUCAUGCGAAUCACUCACAUCAAGAUUAGCAAUUAUUUCUGGAACUUCUAGUUGUCAUAUGGCAAUAGACGAGCAACCUUUGUUUGUAGACGGAGUAUGGGGACCAUAUUAUUCAGCUAUGGUGCCAGAUUUAUGGUUAAACGAAGGUGGUCAAAGUGCAACUGGGAAAGUGAUCGAUCAUAUUCUUGAAACACAUCCUGCGUGGACCGAACUUGUAGAAAAAGCAAAACAAAGCGCGUGUACGGUGUACGAAAAGUUAUAUAGUAUUCUGGAAGAAUCUGCGCAGGACCAGGAACAUUAUGCUUUGUUAACUAAUGACUAUCACGUCUAUCCUGACUUUCAUGGUAACAGAUCACCAAUUGCAGAUCCAACAUUGAAAGGAAUGGUGACAGGGCUAACUUUAACAAAUGAUCUCAAAAGUUUAGCAGUUUUAUACUUGGCUACAAUACAAGCUUUGUCUUGUGGAACGAGGCAAAUUAUAGAACGUUUAAAUUCAUGUGGGCAUAAUAUCAAAGCAAUAUUUAUUUGUGGUGGACUUUCCAAGAAUCCUUUGUUUGUUCAAUGUCAUGCUGACGUCACAGGUCUUCCACUCGUUUUACCACGUGAAACAGAUUCGGUGUUGGUGGGUUCUGCGAUUUUGGCAGCGUAUGCUGCUGGUGAUUUUAAAACAAUGAAGGAUGCAAUGGCCUGCAUGAGCUCGGCUGGUAAUGUUCUUCAUCCGAAUUCCAGUACAAAAAGGUUUUAUGAGAAAAAAUAUCAAGUAUUCCAGAAGAUGUAUCAAGAUCAACUCGACUACCGUAGGAUCAUGUGUUCGUAUAAUUUAUGAUUAAUUUAUCAAAAAGAUUAUUGCGUUAUGUUAACUGAGUUUAUCAUGUCCUACAUUAGAAAUUGAAUCAGAAUGAAUUUUAUUAACAAACAUCUUAUUGGACGAAAUAUUUUAUGAAUGAUAUUAUUACGUUUUCGGAUACGAAAGGUGGGAUUAGUAUGAGUUCUGACAUUUAAGGAUGCUAAGCGCUUCCCAUUCGAAGCGCCUCUGAAGCGUUUUUAUACGUGUGCGUAAAGGAAAUGUUUAAAUCUUUGAAAGAACAAACACUUAUCCUUUUUACGUCAUAAUAGAGAGGUGGUGUUAUUAUAAAUUUUAAUAAUGAAAGAAAGCUUGAAAACGAUGACGUCUUGUAAGAUUUAUCAUCACCUGAAACGUUAUGUUGAUAACAUGUAUAAACCACAUGAUAAAUAAAUCGUAAAGAUAACCUCGACGUUUCGAGCAAAAAUCUACACCAGAGCGUUCCAUUUUCAUGCAUUUUUCAUCGAAACCACUUUUCAAAUGAAUGACAGUUUGACAGAAUAUCAAUAUAACUAGAACUUCGUUAUUUAGAUGAUUCGAGAAAACUCGAACACUAAUGAGUUAUUUUGUAUGCAUUCUUUCAUGGAAACCACAUUUCAACCAUAUGACCUUAAUCCCUUGAUAAAACCCGAUAUAAAUAGCUUCUGUAAAGCCUAACAGCUGUUCGCAGGCUCGUAUGUCACUUGGUUAACUAAUGAUUCCACAGAAACAAUCAACAAUGAAACAACUGACUUGGUUACUUGCAGUUCUCUAGUGGAUCAAACUACAUGCAUUAUCAGUUUCUUUCCUAUCAGUCAUUCAGGUAAAAAACAUCUGCGUGACGACGUGCUGUAGUCAUUCAGAAUGUUUUCCUCCCUUUUUAAUUAAUGUGCCGAUGAUGUUCAGACCCUUCAGAGCUUCAUUCAAGUAUAUAAAACAGAAAGGCAUUAGAUGAAACAUGAAACCAACUAUACUCAUGCACAUUCACAUGGUACAUUGAUUAUAGCCACAAUCACGAUACGUUUCUAAACCUUUUAACAAUAUAUCACGACCAGGUAAUAGACAUGUCUUGACUUGGUGAAGUUGCGCAGUAGUUAUAAAAUUGAUUUACCAGGACCGGACAAUUAUUCGUCGCAUUAUAGGUCGAAGUUUAAUUUGAAAUUAGCUACAAAGUUAACCACUGAUCAAUUCAAGUAUGUGCAGUCAAAGGCCAAACGUAUACGUGAACAGGACAUAAAAAGCUUUGAAGAUGAGUUCGCCUUGCGUAGUGGAAACGGGGCUUUCUGAUUUAAUACGAAUGGUUAUAUCAACAAUCGGAAUUAUUUAUGAACCUCAUCUGUCACUUUAGUCUGUCACCUUCGUCCAAAUUUUGUUAUUUCUGAAUCCUAUAUUAUAAUUCGCAUGAUUUUUGUUACCAUGGCACUUCAGUAUCAUGAAUAUGCCAUUAUUCUUGUCACUAGUGCAGCAUUUUGUAGAAUAUUGUUUUGCGGUCAAUAUUUGUCAAUGCAAAGGAAAACUAUGUAGAAGACAUGCAGCAAUGCGACUUAAGACACUUACAAUGAAAUUGUUUUUUGAACCUAUCUGUUAUAUAUUCCCAGCGUAUAGACUUUACUUCUAGUGAACACAAAAUUCGUGUACAUCAUACGACCAUUACUCAUUAUCAAAACCAUUAUUUGUUUCAUAGACAGCAUAGUAUAUGGUCAAUAUGCGAGCAUGCGGUUUCGCUU